rnacentral:lncRNA from 1 species
UGGGCAAUGGCGGGCGCCCCUCCCCCCGCCUCGCUGCCGCCUUGCAGUUUGAUCUCAGACUGCUGUGCUAGCAAUCAGCGAGACUCCGUGGGCGUAGGACCCUCCGAGCCAGAGAUGGGAUCUUACUACAUUGCCCAGGCUGAAGUGCAGUGGCUAUUAACAGCUGUAAUCAUAAUGCAUUGCAGCUUUGAAUUCCUGGGCUUGAGCGACCUCCCCACCUUAGCCUCCUGAGUAGCUGAGACUACAGGAAAUAAACUUAAGGAGAAAGAAGAAACAAAGAUGGGGCGGAAAUGUAAGAGAGGCAUUCUAAUAUAUGCAUUCUUCAUAACAACUGUGUGAAACAUAUUAAUAUCCUCAUUGUUAACGAUGAAGAAACUAAAUCUCAGGAAGAAAAACUAAGUGAAGACAAAAGAAGGAUUUGAACUGAGAUUAUUCUGGGAGAUUCUGGGAGUCUUUUCUCCAACACUCCAGUGGCAUCUGACUAUGUGAGCUGAUAAGAUCUAUAGAUCUUCUCAGGUAUGUCUUCAUCAGCAGCAUGAAAAUAGACUAAUACAGUAAAUUGGUAUCAGUAGAAUGGGGUGCUGUGGAAAAGAUACCUGAAAAUGUGGAAGCAACAUUGGAACUGGGUAACAGGCAGAGGUUGGAACAGUUUGGAGGAUUCAGAAGAAGAGAGGAAAAUGUGG